CAGAGCUGAGCCGGAGGUGGCAGCGUGCCGGUACGUGGCGUGGUCCUGCAGGGCUGAGUGGGUGUGCUUCCUGUCAGCCGCGGCGUCUCUUCCCCGAGGCGAGCGGCCCAUACAGGUGCUGCUCAGCUAGCUUCUGCAACUCGCAGAGCCAGUCUCCAUGGGAACUCGCGUGAGGGGGAGGGGGAGCGCCUUCCCUCCUGCUGCCGCUGCUACCGGGUCUGCCCCAGCAUGGUGCGCUCUCCGCGAUACGCCGCUCCUUUCCCCUCGCCCCCACCUUCUACCAAUCCGGAGAGGAGCUUCGGAGCACAGCCAUGAUUUCUUGGAGAGAAGCUUAGAGUGGUCAGACUGGCUGGGACAAACUACUGGAGCAGCCAAGCAUGGCAUAUGGCCCUGUUCUAAGCUGUUAACAGGCUGACUUCCUUUUCCCUCUAUGUGUAUUUGACUCAGAAUGAAACAAAGGGAAGGUGUUCCAUACUCUCUCCAUGGUUAUAUUUGUCUCUUCCACCACAAUAGAUAGUGCUUCUUUCUCCAUUUCAUUCUUCAUAACUGAAAGCUGCAGCUGAUGAAACAUCAACACUUUCAAAACUCUGAUUCUAGUGGCAGAGGCUUUUUCCAACCUGGUGCUGCUUACAAGCAAUGGAGAAGUCUGUCCUCACAUGUCUCUCCUCAGUUGUACAUUGCUGCAUCUCACCAGCAUUUCCUUGUGGUUACUCUUCACUUUUUUCCAAAUAUUUCUUUGCGCGCUUGCGCACUUACCUUUGCUACUCACCAGUAACAAAGGUAAAUGAAUGCCACCCCUGGUUUCAUUCAAGGGUAUGUAAAAAAAAGAAAAGAAACUGAACCUGGAGGGAAGUUUACUGAGAACUCAGGAGCAAAUUACAAACAUACAGAUCCCAAGGCAAAACAAGGCAUCAGCCCUGUACAAUAAGUGUGCAGACAAGAUGUUGGUGAUAGAAGUGGGCUGAAAAAUGACUUUCAGAAAGGCUUGUUCAUUUUUAGAAAGUCAAUUUAGAAACCUUUUACCUUCUUGGUAAGCUAAAUGAAUGUUGUGGCCAUUGUUGUAAAUUUAGAAAUAAAAUUAGGAUAAAAAUAGGCAAAGCCCAAGAAAUGUGGUACUAAUAAUAUUGGAGGAGGGUUUGGUGAGAAUACCAAGAUAACAGAUUGUACUUUAGUUGAAUCCAUCUGUAGUUCUUCAGAAGAAAUAUAGUACUCCAAAUAAUCUAGUAUAGGCUGACAAUGGUGCAUUUCUCAAGUUUAAUGCAGAGGCUGUUGUCAUGAAGACACUGAAGAACUGUAUGCACUUGGUUGUC